UACGUAGGGGGCAAGCGUUGUCCGGAAUCAUUGGGCGUAAAGCGCGCGUAGGCGGCCCGGUAAGUCCGCUGUAAAAGUCCAGGGCUCAACCCUGGAAAGCCGGUGGAUACUGUCGGGCUAGAGUCCGGAAGAGGCGAGUGGAACUCCUGGUGUAGCGGUGGAAUGCGCAGAUAUCAGGAAGAACACCAACGGCGAAGGCAGCUCGCUGGGACGGAACUGACGCUGAGGCGCGAAAGCGUGGGGAGCGAACAGG
rnacentral:rRNA from 1 species